GACGUAGGGGGCCAGCGUUGUUCGGAAUUACUGGGUGUAAAGGGUUCGUAGGCGGUGCGGCAAGUUGGGAGUGAAAUCUCUGGGCUUAACCCAGAGGCUGCUUCCAAAACUGCUGUGCUUGAGUGUGGGAGAGGCGCGUGGAAUUGCAGGUGUAGCGGUGAAAUGCGCAGAUAUCAGGAGGAACACCAGCGGCGAAGGCGGCGCUCUGGGCCGGUACUGACACUGAGGAGCGAAAGCGUGGGUAGCAAACAGG
rnacentral:rRNA from 1 species